AUUGAACGCUGGCGGCAGGCCUAACACAUGCAAGUCGAGCGGAUGAAGGGAGCUUGCUCCUGGAUUCAGCGGCGGACGGGUGAGUAAUGCCUAGGAAUCUGCCUGGUAGUGGGGGAUAACGUUCGGAAACGGGCGCUAAUACCGCAUACGUCCUGAGGGAGAAAGUGGGGGAUCUUCGGACCUCUCGCUAUCAGAUGAGCCUAGGUCGGAUUAGCUAGUUGGUGGGGUAAAGGCCUACCAAGGCGACGAUCCGUAACUGGUCUGAGAGGAUGAUCAGUCACACUGGAACUGAGACACGGUCCAGACUCCUACGGGAGGCAGCAGUGGGGAAUAUUGGACAAUGGGCGAAAGCCUGAUCCAGCCAUGCCGCGUGUGUGAAGAAGGUCUUCGGAUUGUAAAGCACUUUAAGUUGGGAGGAAGGGCAGUAAGUUAAUACCUUGCUGUUUUGACGUUACCAACAGAAUAAGCACCGGCUAACUUCGUG
rnacentral:rRNA from 1 species